rnacentral:rRNA from 1 species
CUGCGCGCGACAUGGUCGUCCUCCGGAACACCAAAGGCGCAAAAAACAUAACUUGAGUUGUGCGGGAUUACGGGCGCGGCUCUCCGCAGCGUCCCUCCAUCCCCGGGUGUUGUACGCGGCAUGCGGUGGCGGGCCCUCGGGCUCGCCGCCGUGCCACAACAUACCGUGAGUGUGCAGGAUGUGACCCGAAAGAUGGUGAACUAUGCCUGAUCAGGUUGAAGUCAGGGGAAACCCUGAUGGAGGACCGAAGCAGUUCUGACGUGCAAAUCGAUUGUCAGAAUUGGGCAUAGGGGCGAAAGACCAAUCGAACCAUCUAGUAGCUGGUUCCUUCCGAA